UACAGAGGUCUCAAGCGUUGUUCGGAUUCACUGGGCUUAAAGGGUGCGUAGGCGGCGCGGAAAGUUGGGUGUGAAAUCCCUCGGCUCAACCGAGGAACUGCGCCCAAAACUACCGUGCUCGAGGGAGAUAGAGGUGAGCGGAACUUAGGGUGGAGCGGUGAAAUGCGUUGAUAUCCUAAGGAACACCGGUGGCGAAAGCGGCUCACUGGAUCUCUUCUGACGCUGAGGCACGAAAGCUAGGGUAGCGAACGGG
rnacentral:rRNA from 1 species